rnacentral:rRNA from 1 species
GACAGCAGCAGCCGCGGUAAUACGUAGGUCCCGAGCGUUGUCCGGAUUUAUUGGGCGUAAAGCGAGCGCAGGCGGUUAGAUAAGUCUGAAGUUAAAGGCUGUGGCUUAACCAUAGUACGCUUUGGAAACUGUUUAACUUGAGUGCAAGAGGGGAAAGUGGAAUUCCAUGUGUAGCGGUGAAAUGCGUAGAUAUAUGGAGGAACACCGGUGGCGAAAGCGGCUCUCUGGCUUGUAACUGACGCUGAGGCUCGAAAGCGUGGGGAGCAAACAGGAUUAGAUACCCCCGUAGUCCCUGUCUCUUAUACA